GACGAACGCUGGCGGCGUGCUUAACACAUGCAAGUCGAACGGAAAGGCCCUGCUUUUGUGGGGUGCUCGAGUGGCGAACGGGUGAGUAACACGUGAGUAACCUGCCCUUGACUUUGGGAUAACUUCAGGAAACUGGGGCUAAUACCGGAUAGGAGCUCCUGCUGCAUGGUGGGGGUUGGAAAGUUUCGGCGGUUGGGGAUGGACUCGCGGCUUAUCAGCUUGUUGGUGGGGUAGUGGCUUACCAAGGCUUUGACGGGUAGCCGGCCUGAGAGGGUGACCGGCCAACUGGGGAAGGAGAUACGGCCCAGACCCCUACGGGGGGAAGGGGUGGGGAAUAUUGCACAAUGGGCGGAAGCCUGAUGCAGCAACCCCGCGUGCGGGAUGACGGCCUUCGGGUUGUAAACCGCUUUCGCCUGUGACGAAGCGUGAGGGACGGGAAUGGGUAAAGAAGCACCGGCGAACUACGU
rnacentral:rRNA from 1 species